rnacentral:rRNA from 1 species
UCCGGUUGAUCCUGCCGGUCCCGACCGCUAUCGGGGUGGGGCUAAGCCAUGGGAGUCGUACGCCCCGCCGCUGCGGGGCGUGGCGGACGGCUGAGUAACACGUGGCUAACCUACCCUCGGGAGGGGGAUAACACCGGGAAACUGGUGCUAAUCCCCCAUAGAGGAGGGGGCCUGGAAGGGUCCCUCCUCGAAAGGGUGUGGCGGGGGUUAACGCUGCCGCACCGCCCGAGGAUGGGGCUACGGCCCAUUAGGUAGUUGGCGGGGUAACGGCCCGCCAAGCCGAUAAUGGGUAGGGGCCGUGAGAGCGGGAGCCCCCAGAUGGGCACUGAGACAAGGGCCCAGGCCCUACGGGGCGCACCAGGCGCGAAACCUCCGCAAUGCGGGAAACCGUGACGGGGCCACCCCGAGUGCCCCCUUACUGGGGCUUUUCCCCGCUGUAGGAAGGCGGGGGAAUAAGCGGGGGGCAAGUCUGGUGUCAGCCGCCGCGGUAAUACCAGCCCCGCGAGUGGUCGGGACGAUUAUUGGGCCUAAAGCGCCCGUAGCCGGCUCGACAAGUCUCCUCCUAAAUCCUCGGGCUCAACCCGAGGAUUGGAGGAGAUACUGUCGAGCUAGGGGGUGGGAGAGGCCGAGGGUACUCCCGGGGUAGGGGCGAAAUCCUAUAAUCCCGGGAGGACCACCAGUGGCGAAGGCGCUCGGCUGGAACACGCCCGACGGUGAGGGGCGAAAGCCGGGGGAGCGAACCGGAUUAGAUACCCGGGUAGUCCCGGCUGUAAACGAUGCGGGCUAGGUGUUGGGUGGGCCUAGAGCCCACCCAGUGCCGCAGGGAAGCCGUUAAGCCCGCCGCCUGGGGAGUACGGCCGCAAGGCUGAAACUCAAAGGAAUUGGCGGGGGAGCACCACAAGGGGUGGAGCCUGCGGUUCAAUUGGAGUCAACGCCGGA